rnacentral:rRNA from 1 species
CAUCAGCCGCGGUAAUACAGAGGGUGCAAGCGUUAAUCGGAAUUACUGGGCGUAAAGCGCGCGUAGGUGGUUUGUUAAGUUGGAUGUGAAAUCCCCGGGCUCAACCUGGGAACUGCAUCCAAAACUGGCAAGCUAGAGUAUGGUAGAGGGUGGUGGAAUUUCCUGUGUAGCGGUGAAAUGCGUAGAUAUAGGAAGGAACACCAGUGGCGAAGGCGACCACCUGGACUGAUACUGACACUGAGGUGCGAAAGCGUGGGGAGCAAACAGGAUUAGAUACCCCUGUAGUCCCUGUCUCUUAUAA